rnacentral:rRNA from 1 species
CUGCUGCCUUCCGUAGGAGUCUGGUCCGUGUCUCAGUACCAGUGUGGGGGACCUUCCUCUCAGAACCCCUACGCAUCGUCGCCACGGUGGGCCGUUACCCCGCCGUCUAGCUAAUGCGCCGCAUGCCCAUCCUCUUCCGAUGAAUCUUUCCUCGAUCUCGGAUGCCCGAAACCGAUAUACGCGGGAUUAGCCUCCCUUUCGGAAGGUUGUCCCCCUGAAGAGGGCAGGUUGCAUACGUGUUACUCACCCGUCGCGCCGGUCGCCGG